GGGUCGAUGCCCGAGGGGUUAAUGGGGACGGACUGUAAAUUCGUUGGCAAUAAGUCUACGCUGGUUCAAAUCCAGCUCGGCCCA
rnacentral:tRNA from 10 species